CCCUCUCCUCCGGCCCCUCCUCAGCCUCUUAUGGAGGAGGCCUCGAGGCAAGUCUUGCCAAAAACCUCAUUUACCAGGGCGGUCCUUGGUUCCUGUUUGCCUAAAACCAAAGCCGCAGGCUCUUCAAAAGAACCUAGCAAACCCAGAUAGAAAGGUUUGUUUUUAUUCUCACAAAGAAGAAGGAGACAAAAAACUUUGUUGGGCAAGUCAGGCCCCAUUAAGCUCACAAAAAGACUCUUUGUUCCAGCCGGAGACGGUGAAAAAAAUAUCAGAAGUGGUGGAACGCGUGUUUGUGUCUCCGUUCCGUUCUGAGAGCGUUUAGCAGAGAACUGUAGACUGACCCAGCCAGAAGAAACUUCUAAUGUUUUUUAGUCCAGCUGGAUUUUAAUCACUUACAAUAAUGACACAAUACGUUUCACAAGAGGCGAGGCUGCUUCUGGUUUCUUUCCCCAUCAUCAAGCCCUCUCAGGUAGGACCGGCCCUGUGCUGAGCAGCCUGCAAUCAACGUUUGCUAAAUGCAUAGACUACAGGAGGGUCACGUUGUUGCAAAAGGGCAGUGUUGCCUCCACCUGCACGAGGACUGCUGGCACUGUAUCUUCCCUUUGCGUCCUUCCUUCUGGCUCACAGCCUCCGUGGUGUACCUCAAAUGGUCUUGCCCAAAUGCCUUUUGAUUCACCUUGUGUGGUCUGUCAUUUCCCCCUCUGCAGUUCUCAGGUUUGCUCAGUGGCUCCGUGGGGACUGGUGACCUCUGUGUUGGCCCCUGGGAGCAGCUGCUGAUGCUUCACUCUCUGGACACGCACCUGUGUCAUGUCCUCUGUUUCUCAUGUCUGCAUAGAUGCUAGCAAGCACCCCCGCUCCCGCACACACCAUCAGUGCUGCCUGGGCCUUGUGAAGAUGGACUUAUGCUCCCAACUCCCUGCAAGCCAUCUGGUCAUGUGGCACUUUUAUCUAACUCACUGUUUAUUAUGGUCACCACCCUGGGCCUCUGGCACAGGCUCCCUAGAGAGAGGUCAGAGCGCAGUCGAAGUGAUGGGGCUCAUCAGAUCUAGGGGUGAGCUGCAACUCUAUCCUCAAAGCUGGACGUGAGUUAGGCAGACAGUCCGACCAGCAUCAAUCUAUAGGGCCUAGGCAGAGGGAUGGCGGCGGGGAGGGGUUUCAGAAGAGAGACAAGAGAGUGUCCUGGGAAGUACCGGAGCAUGGCCAAAGGACCUGUGGUCAGGCCUCCAACCUCUCCCCUUGGGGGUGGGUUCUGCUCGUGUGGCUUUACGGCCACUCUAUGACAAAAGCAACAGAAGAGUUAAAAUCACUCUUCAGAGUGUCCUUCCUCCAACCACACGUCCCAUGGCAAGCUCUGGCUAUCCCUUGUCUCGGCCUGUCUUCACGGUCCUCGGUCUCAGCAGCUAAAGUUCCUACCUGUGACUUUCCGUCCACACCUUCCCAAAGUCUCCUACAAUGGGCCGAUGCCUGAAUUUGCAGGCGGUGCACAGCUUAUGUUGUCGUUCUGGGAUCUUUGCAAUUCGUAGUCUAAGAAGCAACGACAAUGACACAGACAAACAGGGGCUAUAAUGAUGAGACACUCACCACGUUGUUCAAACCCAGCUGGGACAGCAGUGGCAUUUAUACUGAGCACAUGGUGUUGACCAGCUACUUCUGCUUCUUGCUUUCCAAGGCCAACAUGGACUGAUAAUAAACAUGCCUUGCUCUAUAUUCCAGCUUAUAUUGACCGUGGAGCAAAACAACACCUUCUUAGUCACCCUCAUAGCUAGGAAAGUGUCUUCUCAACUAAUGGGGGAACUUUCUGUGGGAAGCAGGGGUCCUGGGUCUUCCCUUUUCACCUCCCCCACUAAAGGCUCUUCUAGAUUGGUGCAUGACUCAACUCUUGGCAUGACUGGUCAAUCUUGUGUGAAUCAUCAAGAUUCCUCCAGGUCUGACCUGGGCUGGGCUGGAGUUUCAGUUCAGGGAGGAGACUUUUGUUCUAGAUCAGACAUGUGAGUUUAAUAAAAAACUGAUAAUUAACCAGAUGCAUCAUCAUUUAGGAGGCUGGUGCACGGUGUCUCUCAGAGCUCGCUGGGCCGCCGCACUUUGCCUCCCGCUCGGUCGUAAAGUGCAGGAGUGGUUCACUUUUAUGAUUCGAGGCCUCACCUGCAGAAUGAAGUCCACCAAGUGUGGAGGAAGCUGAACAAUCAGAUUGUUUUAGCGUUUCCUGGGCCUUCUUGGGGCGGUGUCCUCACGUCAGAUCCCUCUGCUUUCAGCAGGUGGCAGGUUUAUGAGGUCAGCCCCCAGGGGUGCCCCACCCCCUACCAAGGCCGCCUUUUAAGUAGGAUCAAGCUCCUUAGCUGCUCAACUGCUGAGGCCAGCGCCUUCGUGCCCUUGAGCACCUCAAGCAGUGCAUUUAUGCAAGAGGCGACACGAGGGACAUGAAAGAGAUCUGUGUUUAAUUUCUGAGAGCCACUUUGAUUAAAUUAGGAUUAAAUUAAGUGACCGCCCAAACCAAAGCAAACUAGUAAUAAAUCUCACAAUCUUAGCAACCUCUUCUUGAACUUUCCACUUUUCCCAAGUAGCCCCCCUGCACCCACUCAUCGACUCCCCUGCAGUGCGGGCAGGUGGGGGGGUUCUGGGCUGGCCUUGGGGAGCAGAAGGAGAAGGCAGGGGGCAGGGUGGAGGAGGGCAGGGCGGGGAGGAGAACGCGCUGGAUGUGCAAGGGCUCAUUUGUAUGACCCACCAGCCUUUCAAACUGGAUAUUCGCUGGUUUGAAAAAAAUUGACAAACAGAAAAUAUCAAAAGGGGUGAUGUUGCUGAGGGCCCAGAGCCACACGCUACAGUUCUUUUGAUACCAAGACGCAUUGGAUAAAUCGGCUCAGAAGGCUCGGCGGCGGCGUUAAGCCCCAUAACCACAGGGAUGUGGUAAUUAUCUUCUGAGAACUUCCCCGAGGGGUGUGGAGCAGACCCCGAAGCAGGAGAAACUUUGGUUCCAAGUUCCAAGCUUUGAAGUCUACGACUGUGAGGAAAAGCCUUGCAUUUAAUACAGGAAGAUGUGUGUGUGUGUGUGUGUGUGCGUGCGCGUGUGGCUCAAGCGUCCCUGUGUGGACGGGUGUGCCUGCUGAUAAGCACAUGAGGUGUGAGGAUGCAGGAAGGGUUGGGGCGUGAGCUCGGUACCCGGGGAAGUGAUUGGAGGGAGGCAGAGCGUUUCGGCAAAGGCAGUUCCGGGGUUACCAGAGCCCACUCCGGAGUCAUUCAUCCAGUGGUUUUGAACAGGCUCUUUGAAACCCUUGGACUCUUCAAAGGUCCUUCCAGAGAUGCACAGGGAGAAAAUGAAGACUAAGAGGAGUCCGGGGGUGCCCAGCCUCCUUCUUUCCUCCACCGCCAACCAAUAAAGCUCGCUUUUAACUACUUCAUAUGUGUUGGGCAAGUUGCAACUCUCGUGGCUCAGUGUUCUCGUCUAUAAAAGGGGCACACAAGUAAUGGAGGGCACUAUGAAUUAAGACGUGAGAAGGUUCAGAAGGGUAGCUGGAACAGUAAGAGCUCAGUAAAUAUUAACUAUUAUUUAUCAUACGAGCAAGUAAGAUUUCAUUUGAAAAAUGGUUUCUGCUGCUAAAGAAAUUCUGAAAGUUACCAUCCAGUGCAACUCCUCAUUUUCCAGUCGUUGUAACCCAUCAAAUUUAAGCAUUUACCCAGGACUUUACAACUACUUAGUGAGGGACAAAAAUGGGCCCAGCAGAAGGAUCUCCUGGCUCCAGUUAGGCCCCCCGUGUGCUGUCCAGACAGGCUGAUGCCAGGAAAGGAGACUGAGGGGCAUUUCCAGUAGCUAAGGGAGUCUCAUCAGCCUCAAGCCCCUGGGCGGCGGGGAGAGUGUCUUGUUCAUCGGAGGCUCUCCAGGUCCAGGAGAGCCCCUGGCACACUACAGGUGUUUGAGAAACAUCGUUGAAUGGAUGAGGAAGGCUUUAACCAAAGUCACACAACUGGGUGGAGGCUGAGCUGGGAUAGAACUCUGGUUUCCUGGGAUGAAUGAGCCGAGUGAAUUGCAUGAAGACAACGGAGGGCUCAGUGCUCAUGAGUAGUGCUGUGUGGUAGAGAGGACUGGUAGGGUGGCUCAUGACCCUGUUGCCAUCGACCACAUGGAUCCAGCCUUCCAGCACGAACCAAGAGUCUUGAGAUCCAGUCCCAACUCUGGGAGUGCCACCAACAGAAAACCCCGUGGCAUUUCUGUGUCUGCAUUUCUGCAUUUGUACAAGGUGGGGAACAGACAGCUCCUGACUUUGUCUCCAAAGGAAUAUGGAGAUGAUUAAAAGAACUUCACCCGGGAUGUAGCAUUGCACGCUGAGAAAAGGCCAAAUGUGGUGAUUUAGAGAAGGGACACUCCUGGGAAAUGUGGCAUUGUCCAGGAGAUGGAAGGGGCGGAGAGGGAGUGUGGUGUGGGCCAAGAGGACACAGUGAGGAGGUACCAGGGGUGGUACUCAGAGAGGGGACGAGGGAACUGGUAUGUGCUGAGUUUGAGAGUUUUCCUUCUCACUCAGAUCAAGGACGUGUUAUGGGGGAAGCAUCAGCCGUAAGUGGAGCUUGAUGGAAGCGAAAAGAAGAACAUACAGGCCAAAGAACUAUAAUGAAAGAAGGAAGGAAAAAACGAAAGGAUCUGGCAGACGUGGUUCCUCCUAAGAGCUUCUCACCUUCCCCAGUGCUUCCUGCAAUGCCUGGUUGUGGGAGUUCUUAUGAAAUGAACAGUGAAGACAUGCCAUAGAAGGUGGAGAAGAAAACCAGAGAAAGCACAUGCUUCCUUCUUUGAGGGGAGCAAAGACGUGGUGUUGUGAGGCUGCAUGUCACAGGCUCCAAGGAAGAAAAUACUGCAUGGGGACCCUGAGUACAAAUUACGUUGGAAUGGAUCCAGGCACAUAUCUGAAGGCAGCUGAAUCCCUUGGAAAGAAGUUUGACAUGUCUGUCUGAUUGACAGAGAAAUGGAUUUUGAUUCACAGACUGGAUCAGGAGAAAGAAAGAACUUUAGAUGUCAGCAGAGCUUUGUAUCUCACUCAUUCAUUCAGCCAUCCAUUCAUUCAUUAUCAUUCAUCAAAUUACUAUGCAGUUGGGGGUCUACUUUCUGCUGGACCGUGCUUGGCCUGAGGACACAGGAUGGUUAUGCCAGUGCCCUCACUGUGAAGGGGCUUGUGGUCCAGUUACACACGUUAGGAACAAAUAUGGCGGGUGCUCAGAGGAUGGGGCACUGACUCCAUGGAGGAAUGAGAGAGGCUUCCCCUGAAGGGAGCUGACGUUCGAGUUACAUGAAGUAAGUAGGAGUGAGGGCAGAUCACGUAGCAGGGUGCUGGGGAAGGGCUGUGUUUACUGUCAGGCCUCAGAGGCACAGAGCAUUUGGGGUGGAUGGGCAGGGUGGGCUCACAGACCUGCUGGCAUGACACCUGAGGAGGUUCCCAUGAGAGACCCCAGACUUGUCCAAUAACACUGCUGACUCUGAGAGACAGCAGGGAUGAGCCCAGCAUACGGUCUGUCCCAUGGACCUGACGUCCCACCCCCAACCUUCCCCGCCACUGUACAUUUCCUCAGCCAGACCCAAAGUCUUCGUGCCUGAUCAGAGUUCUUGGGAGGGAACGGAUUAGAAGCUGGGACCGCUAUUUUCGCAAAUAAGACACGAGCAGGUGUGGUCUCUGUGUGACCAAAUGGAACGCAAGAGAGACGUUCCUCCUCUCACCUGCUGGAAUCACGGUGUCUCUAUCGUCAACUCUGGAGAGCAGCCGCUUUGCUCCCUGAGAAGUCGGGGCAUGAACAGCAGACCCCUAGACCUGACAGGGGCAAAGGCAGUAGCAGCCUUUGCAGGGGGAAGGCUCUGGGAGACAAGAAUCUGGUGGAGCACCACUUUCAUCUGAGAAAAGAACUGGAAGAUAUGUCACGAGUGAAGGGCUGGGUGGGGCUCUUCAUGCUGGCCAAUAGGAGAAAGGGGCCCCAUGUUACCCUCCCCAACCCCUACCUCCAUCAUUUUUUAAAAAACGAAAUAGGUAGGUACAAAACACUAUGCCUUCUCUCUCUAUGUAUACAGUAUACCUGGAGGAAGGAAGUUCAAAAGCAUCUUAGGGGAAAGCGGCAUGGCUUGAGGAAACAAACAAAAUGACUAUGAACCCAAAUACUUACAAUUGGUUUAGAAGACUUUGUUUCUACAAGAAGGUUAUUUCACUGUAAAUGAUAACAGCUUGGAAUGUACUCAAAAAAGGAAAAUGGACCAGUAUAAAUGACGGGAUUUAUGUGCAAGAAAAAAAGAGAGUAACGUGCAAAAGUAAAACAUCGGCCCAUCUGAUCCUGCACCGUAAGAGCAUGGAGGCCGUGUGCUGGGAGGAGGUGGGGACGGGGAGGGGAGCUCCCGCUGCAAUAGCGGAGAAAGAUAUUAAAACUCUAAUAAAAGGGAGGAUCAGGGUGGGGAAGAAGCUCUGCUCUCUUUUCAAGAUGCCAGAAAGUAGUCAGACAUGCUGCAAAAAAUGUGAAGAAAUCUCUUAAAGAAGAGUUCAAGGCUAGAGACCUUUAAAAACCAGAUCAUUGUCUCCACAUGUUUAAUGAUGAGCACAGAUAUUAAAAACACAGAUGAAGAAAUUGGGAGAAAAAUAGGGAAAAAAUCAAAGCCAAAUAAAGAGAACUGGAUAAACAGAGACAAGGAUAUCAAGCAAGAGAGAAGGCCAAGACUCAGAGGGCAGCUUGUCCCAGAAUGGUCCAGAAGUUAGGAGGAUAAUGGUUGCCUUAAGUGAAGACAGACUGAUGAAGGUGAUGCUGAAAGGAUAUUGCAAAUAGCAGCAUUCUCCGUGAAAUUAUUUUCAAGGAUUUCAUAGAAAUGUAUUGAGAACCACCCAUGGACCAAAUACAUUUACUGAAUUAAUCUGAUUUAAAAUUUAGAACUGACUCUAGGGGCCGGCCUGGUGGCUUGGUGGUUAAGUUCGUGUGCUCUGCUUUGGCGGCCUAGGAUUUGAGAGUUUGGAUAUCGGGCGGGGAUCUACACACUGUUUGUCAAGCCAUGCUGUGGCAGCAUCCCACAUACAAAAUGGAGGAAGACUGGCACAGAUGUUAGCUCAGGGACAAUCUUCCUCAAGCAAAAAGAGGAAGAUUGGAAACAGAUGUUAGCUCAGGGCAAAUCUUCCUCACAAAAAAACCAAACCAAACCAAACCAACUCUAGUCAGGUAAGAGUGUUGCCAAAGCCAGGUAGUUGGUGGGAGGCAGAGCAAUGAUUGCAACGCCACCUCCUUCUGGCACAUCCUGUGGUCUUACUGUCAUUCCACAGCCCCCUGCCCUUCUGCCAGAUCAAAGACAGGUCCCUGACCAGUGCCGGGCACCGACUGAUGCCAGGACUGUGCUUUGUCACAGUGUGCGUGGUGAGGUUGUGGCCGCAGAGUGUAAUCCUUUGCUGACAGCUCUCACCAGGUCCCCAAGGGUUGCUUGAGCUGUGCUUCGGCUGUCUUCAAAGGCGUGGGAAGAAUAGUUGAAGUUGUCAGACAUGGAGAGGCACUAUGACGCCUAUUCUCUGGGGUAAGGCAACCUAGAUUCAAGUUCCCAGCCUUUCCAUGGAUGAGUUAUGUGACAUCUCUAAGCCUCAGUCGCUUCAUCUGUAACAUAGGAAUCAACAGUGAGGACAAGAUGAGGUCACACAUAGAAGCCCUCAGCAGAGCACCUGGCACACAGGAGGAACUCAGUAUGUUAAUAUGAAUAUCACCCCCUCCCUCAGGUAAAUGGGGCAGAGGCAUCGGUGGCUCUACCCAGGUUAGGCAAGGAGGUGUGGUCAGGCUGGAAUGGAUAACUAAGUAAAAGAUAACGCUGGAGUCAUCUGAUGUGAUUGAACACUGAUGCAAAAGCUUUUCAGAAAUCCCAUCACCAAAGGCGGCAGGAAUACCAGGGGCCGGGUUACAUCAGGCACAGACCUGUACUGCAAUCAGGGGACUUGAGACAAUUACGUAAAUACACCACCAUCGCUUACUGACCAUGGACCAGUUAAAGCCGAUGGGAGGCUCCAGAGCAGGAAAGAGCAACUUCCCCAAAGAAGGAAGCAGGAUGAGAAGGAAGCUCUGGUUCUAAGAAACUCAGUUGGCUGGACAAGAUGGUGGGAAAGAGCGAGAAGGCCAGCUAGGGUGGUACAGAAAGGCCUUCUAGGGUCUUAUUAUAAGGGAAGAGGAGACACAAGAAAUCACGGCAAUGAGGCUGAGAAUACUCUGGGCCAGCAGACACAUGAGCUCUUCUUAGAGUAUAAAAGAGGUAAGAGAAGAAGUAGGUAUAGGAAUGGAGCCUGUCAGAGGAAAGACCGAGUUUAGAGUGAGGGGUGAAAAGUACAGGACAUCUGGAUUUGUAAGAAAGUGGUAUUUAGCAGUUCGGAAAAUUUUAGUGGUGGAUAACAAUUGCAAAUAUGUACAUAUCUUUUACAAUUAAACAUCUAUCCAACAGCAGGGAGAUCCAAGAAAAGACCUGAAAAAGUAUUUGUGGCUUAGAGUCUUUGGCAGGAAGAUGUUAAAUCCAGGACAGCUGUCCUCACACCCUGGGUAGCAAUAAGGGUGAGUGGGUUUCAAGAACUAUGGGACAUCUGAUUAGGAAGUAGAGUGGAAUGUAUGUGGAAACUGAUUAAUUCAUAGGGCAGUCAGGUGAUGAUAAAUGCCAAGUGAUGAGGUCACACAUUUUGCAUCCAGCUUAGGGGCCAGUUCUUUCUCUCCAUUCCUCAGUUUCUCGGUCUCUGAAAUGGGGUUAAUUGUGCCUGCUGUCACUGGUGCUGGCCACAAGGGAGGAAAGCAUCAUUAUACAGGAAUGGUGAGCAUUGUUCACACGAGAUGAGGGAAUGUUUAGUAGGAAAGCACAUUUCUUCUCCUCAACCCAAUCAUUUCACAGUCAGAAAACUCAAGGACCAAAGAAAGGGCUGGGGUCUUUGCAGACUCCUGGCUUGGUGGUCUCGAGCCAGUGGAGAGGGGCAGCAGCUCUGGGACACAUUCAGUAACAGACAGAGGAGCUGGACCCGGGACAACACGCCCUGGAAGCGAGAGCACUUAGUGUGCUGAAUGCACUUGUCUUGCUCCUGAAUCAGGGGCACUGGUACUUGCCUGACUGGUUUGUGUUCAUUGAUGCUGAGAAAUCCUAGCCACAGAUAAGAUGUGGGCCUGGAAUUAGACAAGCAAAGGGUUAGUCUUGACUCUGCUAUUGACCUGAUUGUGUUACUUAGUCAAGUUGCUUGGCCCCUUGAAGCUUCAUCCAUGACAGGAGAGUGGAAAGCCAACUCUGACCAGUUCAAGGGAUCGCAGUGAGGACGACCCAUCGGUCGUUGAUCCUUUGUUCAUUCUUUGAACAUGUAUUCAGCACCCAUCAUGUGAUGAAGAAAACAGACAGCCUCCCUAGUCAGGGAGACAGGAAUUCAACAGAACCCACACUAUGACAUGAUAAAGGAUACUGAGGUCAUGUACCAAGUGCUAUGUGUGAAGGAAG